CCUUUGAAUUUUUCUCAAGGUUGACCUCGGAUCAGGUAGGGAUACCCGCUGAACUUAA
rnacentral:rRNA from 5 species